ACGAGGGGACUUUUGGGGACACGAGGGGAUAUAUGGGGUCACAAGGGGACUUUUGGGGACAUGAGGGGCCGUAUGAGGACAUGAGGGGACUUAUGGGGACAUGAGGGGACAUAUGGAGACACGAGGGGAUAUAUGGGGACACGAGGGGACUUUUGGGGACACGAGGGGAUAUAUGGGAACACGGGGGAUAUAUGGGGACACAAAGGGACUUUUGGGGACAUGAGGGGAUAUAUGGGGACACACGGGGACUUAUAGGGACACGAGGGGACUUUUGGGGUCACGGGGGGAUAUAUGGGGACAUGAGGGGCCAUAUGGGGACACGGGGGAUAUAUGGGGACACAAAGGGACUUUUGGGGACAUGAGGGGCCAUAUGGGGACACGAGGGGUCUUUUGGGGACACGAGGGGAUAUAUGGGAACAUGAGGGGAUAUAUGGGGACAUGAGGGGAUAUAUGGGGACAUGAGGGGACUUUUGGGGACACGAGGGGAUAUAUGGGGACACGAGGGGAUAUAUGGGGUCACGAAGGGACUUUUGGGGACAUGAGGGGAUAUAUGGGGACACGCGGGAAUAUAUGGGGUCACG
ensembl:lncRNA